UGGGGAAUCUUGCGCUAAUGCGGGAAACCGUGACGCAGCGACGCCGCGUGAGGGAAGAAGGCCUUCGGGUUGUAAACCUCUUUCAGGAGGGACGAAGCUACUCGGGUUAAUAGCCCAGAGGGUGACGGUACCUCCAGAAGAAGCCCCGGCUAACUACGUGCCAGCAGCCGCGGUAAUACGUAGGGGGCAAGCGUUGUCCGGAUUUAUUGGGCGUAAAGAGCGUGUAGGCGGCUUUACAGGUCCGUUGUGAAAACUCGAGGCUCAACCUCGAGACGCCGGUGGAAACCGUAAAGCUAGAGUCCGGAAGAGGAGAGUGGAAUUCCUGGUGUAGCGGUGAAAUGCGCAGAUAUCAGGAAGAACACCCGUGGCGAAGGCGGCUCUCUGGGACGGUACUGACGCUGAGACGCGAAAGCGUGGGGAGCGAACAG
rnacentral:rRNA from 1 species